AGCAGCCGCGGUAAUUCCAGCUCCAAUAGCGUAUAUUAAAGUUGUUGCAGUUAAAAAGCUCGUAGUUGAAUUUCGGGGUUAGUAGGUUGGUCAUGCCUCUGGUAUGUACUGGUCUCACUGAUUCCUCCUUCCUGAUGAACCUUAAUGCCAUUAAUUUGGUGUUUUGGGGAAUUUGGACUGUUACUUUGAAAAAAUUAGAGUGUUUAAAGCAAGCUAACGCUUGAAUACAUUAGCAUGGAAUAAUGAAAUAGGACGUUCGAUCCCAUUUUGUUGGUUUCUAGGAUUGACGUAAUGAUUAAUAGGGAUAGUUGGGGGCAUUAGUAUUCAAUUGUCAGAGGUGAAAUUCUUGGAUUUAUUGAAGACUAACUACUGCGAAAGCAUUUGCCAAGGAUGUUUUCAUUAAUCAAGAACGAAAGUUAGGGGAUCGAAGACGAUCAGAUACCGUCGUAGUCUUAACCAUAAACUAUGCCGACUAGGGAUCGGAUGAUGUUAAUUUUUUAAUGACUCAUUCGGCGCCUUGCG
rnacentral:rRNA from 1 species